AUCCUCUCGGGGUUGCACCUGGAGAGUUUCCUGUACUCUACCAGUCUUGUCUACAGGUAGAAGAGUCAAGCAGAGGCAUACCCAUUCCAUUCCUAGCUUGGGCAGUGGCUAGCUAGUGGAAGGCAAUCUGCUACAGGU